UGUAAUCGCUAUGUCCUUAUUGGAUAUAGAGGAAAGUCCAUGCUCACACAGGCUGCGAUGUCUGUAGUGUUCGUGCUUGAUGAAGUCAUAAGUCAAGGUAGUUUUUAUAAACUAACGGCAGAUGAGCUAUGCUAAGUUACUUUUGUGAUAUGCAAGCUCUCUUGAAAGUGCCACAGUGACGUAGCUAGUGUGGAAAUACAUUAGGUGGAACGAGGUAAACCCCACGAGUGAGCAACCCAAAUAAUGGUAGGGGCAUCCUUUAGUAGGGAAAUGAACUGAACGAGGGACAGCAAUAGCUGUAGAUAGAUGAUUACAACCGGCGUACGAGGUUGACCACCGUUUGUAGUACAAUGGAACAGAACAUGGCUUAUC
rnacentral:RNase_P_RNA from 1 species